AAAAAAGAAAAAAGAAAAAACUCUCCUGUCCCCCCGGCAGCCGCGGCCGCUGUUCCCUUCUCGAUGCCCUAGCAUCCUCGCCGCCGGGAACCGCGAACCCUAGCCCUCUCCUCCGCCCUUCUCCGGGAAGGGAAUCGAUUCAUCUCCGCCCUCCCUACCCGCUGCUGCCUCCUCACGCGGCGGCGCAAUCUCCGUCACCGGCGGCGGCGGCGGCGGCGGGAGGUGGGGUGUCCACGAACGAACGCCGUGCGGGCUAUGGAGUGAUGAUGCCUUCUUCUCCUCCCGACAUGUAUGAGGUACGGUCGAAGACGCGCGCAACUCGCGAUUUCCACUCUGUUCUCCGCAACUUCCCGUGCGAGGUAGUAGAUGCUGUGCUGUGAGGGGGGUUUUUGAUUGAUUUCGUCUCCUCCCAAAUCCAAUCCAGAAACAGGCACUUGUUCAUGGUGGAGAUGAUGAGCUGCUGGCACGGGCCGGCCCUCCUCCCAUGGAGGACGUGCUGAUGCACAUCCUUCCAGUUGAUUCCGAACAGGUGAGAUCGCUAUCACAUAUAUAUAGCCAAUGUAUGUACCCUCGCCAUUGCAUCUUUUGCAGAGAAUUGCAGAGAAUUGGAAUCGGUUAAGUGCUUUCGGUGAAAUUGACCUUUUUAAGAGAUCUGUUCUCCAGGUUUUUGCUCGUGUAAACAAUCUGGGGAAUGAAAUUUCUCCUGUACAAGCCUGGUGCCAACCAGAGCUGCGCGGCGAAAAGGUUUAACUUGAACAUUAUCUGUUUACCUACCGCGUUCAUCCAUCAGACAAUGACAUACAUAAAUUUGGCAAAAUGCAGCUAUAGGUAGUAACAAAGACUUGGCUAAUUGCUUUGUCUCACAUACAUGUAUUACAGACCAGUAACAAUGAUGGGCAAACGGUGAUAACUCCAGUCGAGUUGAUCAAGGUAUUUAGAAUCACUUUGACUUUUUAGAAUCACUUUGUGCCUGGCAUUAACUGCGAAACGAAAUGCAGAAACCUGUUGAGAAGCAAGUGAUAACAGAAGGAAGACUGCAGCUCGCUGGUGAUGGCUAUCAGGUAUGAAAACCAGACAAUGCUUAUGGAGAGGUUUAAUAUGGACAUUUGAAUAUGGCAGUGAAUAGCUACCUUAACAAGAAAUAUUCAAUUGCAUGCGUGCAGCUGCUAUCUUCAAAUGGCAUAGACAAAACUGCAGAACAACUAUACGUGGAUCAAUUAGGGAGACAAACCAACUCAAUGGACCAAUCACUGCAGCAUACUGAUGGACAAAACCAAUCACAUGAUAAUAUGGAAAGCAAUGAAGUGUCAAGCGAUGAUAGAAACAGUGAUGGCGAUUCUGACAGAAGCCUAGGAAAUGAAUCAGAUAAAGGGCUUGGAGCACACUAUAGUCCUAGUUUAAUGGAAUUGGAUAAUGCAAGACCACCAGAACUUGGAAUGAAAUUUGCAACACUUGAAGAUGCACAGAGAUUCUAUGAGACACAUGCUCUUAAAACUGGCUUUGUUGCAAAGCGGGGGACGAACUACAGGAGAAAAAAGUUUACCAUAGAGUGCCACAAGACUGGCACAUCAAAGCUAACUCCGAACCCACAGAGGAAGAGGAAGAAAAAUAUUAUAGAGAGGACUCAAUGCCAGGCAAAGGUGGUAGUGAAGCUCAAUAAGGGACAAUGGGAGUAUGCAGCAGUCCGGAAUGAACACAACCAUCCAUUGUGUCCUAGCUAUUCGCUUAGAUUCUCAAAGCGCAAACGCAGGCGAAAUCCUCCAAGCCAGAAACAGCUGGAUGUUCAGAGAAAUAGUGACCAACUGACACAGGCAGAUAAUCUUGAGGAACGGUUGUCGCAACCUCUUAUUUCAGCUGAUUCAAAUGAAGUAAGCUUGCUAACAAAGGUUCCCCAGAUAUUUUUGUUUUGUAUACAUGUGAUGGAAGUGAUUUUUUAAUGAUCUGUUAUCCUGGUUGUACCUCAGGUAAACAACAAAAGGAUGCCUAGACAUGCAGAGAUUAGUAUAUCUACUGUAGAGAAGGAACCUGUUGACAAACUACAGCGAGCUGGUGAUUAUCAGGUAUGAAAAGGUGAAAUCUAACAAGAGUACCAAUAAUAAGGUAUCAAAUAGUAGCUUAACGUAAGUUAUUCUCUUGCAUGCAGGAGCAAUCUUCAAAUGGCAUAGACAAAAAUACAGAACGACCAAUUGUAGAUAAAUUGGGAGACCAAACAAGCUCGAUAGACCAUUCACUUCAGCAUACUGAAGAGCAUAACAGAUCACAUGAUAAUGUGGAAAGCAGUGAAGCGCCAAGCGAGGAUACAAGCAGUGAAAGCAAUUCAGACAGCAGCUCAGGUGAUGAGUCGGAUAAGGAGCUUGGGAAGUACUUCUAUCCUAGUUUCGACGAACUGAAGAAUUCAAGACCACCAGAACCCGGAAUGAAAUUUCCAUCCCUUCAAGCCGCACAAAGAUUCUAUUACGCACAUGCUCUCCUUACUGGUUUUGUAGGAAAGAGGGGAACCAACUACAAGAGAAAGAAGUUUCACUUAGAAUGCAACAAGAGUGGCAAAAUGAAGUUAACGAAGUCAUCUGAAAACCCAAUGAAGAAGAGGAGAAGCAAUCUUGUAGAGAAGACACAAUGCAAGGCAAGGGUGAUAGUGAAACUCGAUAAGGGAGAAUGGGAGUUCACAGCAGUUCGCCAUGAGCACAAUCAUCCGUUAUGCCCAAGCCCUUUGCUUGCAAGAUUCAUAGUAGACCACAAACAAAUGUCAACUGGAGAGAAGUCAUUUUUAAGAGUUCUGCAACAAAAUAGGGUACCUCCUAAGAAAAUUAUGAAGAUUUUCAGGAAACUAAGAGUUUGUUUCGGAGACAUACCAUUUGAAAAUAAAGAUGAGCACAACAUAGCACAGACAGAACAUAGAAAAGCAAACUCAGAUGUUGAAAGCGCAUUGAAGCACUUCACAGAAUUGCAGAUUCAAAACCCAGAAUUUCUGUACGUAAUGCAAAAAGAUGAGGACAACACAGUUACAAGCAUCUUCUGGACUGAUGCAAGAUUGAGGAUCGAGUAUGAUAUUUUCGGAGAUCUCAUUAUGUUUGAUGCUGCCUAUAGCACUGAUAUGUAUAACAUGCCUUUUGUGCCUAUUAUUGGAAUAAAUAGCCACGCGACACCCUUCCUGUUAGGAUGUGCUUUGUUAAAAGAUGAGAAAGUAGAAACCUUCGAAUGGAUGUUGCGUACAUUUUUGCAAGUGAUGGGAGGAAAAAUGCCAAGAGCGGUCAUAACAAACCAGGACACAUCAAUGGAGAAGGCAUUUGCAGAACUCAUGCCGCAUGUAAGGCUUAGGUUUUGCAAGCGGCAUGUUAUGAGCAAAGCUCAGGAAAAGCUUGGAGACUUCAUGACAGCAAGAGGUAACAUAAAUACAGAUCUACAUAACUUAGUAGGCAACUCGCUGGUAGAAACAGAAUUUGAAGAAGGAUGGGUUGAGCUUAUUGAGAGAUACAAUGCAAGUGAAAACCAACACCUGCAACUCAUGUGGCAAACAAGAAAAAGUUGGGCACCUGUCUAUUUUAGAGAAGAUCUCUACCCAUUUAUUGACUCAGUUGGUUCCAACGAGGGAAUAAACUCAUUAUUUAAAGGUAAUAUGCUUCCAAAGGACACAAUAGAUAAGUUCAUUGGGCAAUUUAAGGAGAUACAAGAGAAUAUAGCAAAAGUUCAUGAAGAAGAUAGAUUUCAGUCAGGAGCUGACCUUAAAUACAUCUCAAUGCAACCAAUAGAACAACAUGCAGCACAUAUUUACACAAGGGAAAUAUUUCUGAAAGUACAGGAAGAACUACUACAUUCUACUGCAUUCAACGUGCAGGAGAUACAAAUAGGGACAGUGUACAGACUUGAAAAGGUCUUCAACUAUGAGAACCCAGAGUUUGAUAGAAAUUAUUUUGAAGUGCUUGCUGAACCUGGCAUCAAUGCAUUCAAGUGCCAAUGUGCAAAAUUUACAAGGGAUGGAAUACCUUGCUGCCACAUAUUCAGACUUUUCACUCAGUUUGGAAUCAAUGAAAUACCAGAGCAGUACAUAAUGCCCAGAUGGACUAAAAAAUUCAGAGAGGAGCAGCUAAAACAGAACAAGGAAAAAUUAUUUGACAAGCAUGGUAUAAAGGAUUCAGAAAAUACAUUGAGAUAUGCAAUGCUAAUGAGUAAAGCGGCUGAAAUUUGCCCGAAAAUUUGCCAUGAUGAAGCAAAAUGCAGCAUAUUCAUGCAGGAACUAGACAAGAUUCAAGAGAAGUUGAUAACGGAGAGCAGAGAAAAUGCACAGAAUGAUAACCCAUGUCGUGAACAAGGGGCCUUGCAACAGGAGCAUCGUGGGAGCAGUAGCAAUACAGAGCAAGAGCAACAGCAUACAGGUGGCUUGUAAGGCACAGUGAUGCUUGGUCCAAAAUGUGCAGUGGGUCAGUAGAGCAUUACGGGAGUGAGCCAAUUGAUCUCUUUGUGCGGGUUCUGGUCUUCUGGAGGAGACUAUUUUGUCCAGGAAGUAGAAUGGUUAGUAUAGUUAGUUUAGCUGAAGUUAGUUGUGGUAAACUUGUCUGUUAGGAAAGUGUUGGUCGAGAGCAGGAAGACGUGUAAAGAUGCAUUGUAUCUAUUAGCUCUCCUGUCUAAACAUGCAUCUUGGUUCGCGGCAGUAUGGGAAGCUGAUAGUUAAUUGACAUCUGUGUUCGCCAAUUUUGCAGGUAUGCCUUCUUUUUUUGUCUGCCUUUGUUGGUUUCAAAAUGAUUUAGUGUGUAUUUGUUGCAAUGCCAUUUCGUUGAAUCGCCUGUAAUAUGUUUCAUAGGUUUUGAUGUAGUAUGUUCCGUGCGCUUUGGUCUUGAUUGUAUGAUCUUUGUUUCUUAUACUGUUUAUGGGUAAAUAGGGAGAUGUAUAUUGUUCUGUUUGUGUUAGCAUGUAAAAUUUCAUAUCAUUAAAUUGUUCUCGUCUUUUCUCAAAAAAAAGUCAUCUUCUGUUUUGAAAAGAUAAUGCGAUUCAAGUUUUUUUUGCCAUUUUGUGCCAUGCCCCCCGCGGGCGUCAUGUAGACUAGCUUAAACUUGCUGUAAACGAUUCAUCUUUCUGCAUAUUGAAGAAUUAUAGGUCUUACUUUUUCAGUAACAAGCUAUCCGUUGAUUUGCUUCUUAAUUAUAAGUUGAUGCAAACUUGGUUUGUUAGCUUUCAAAUCCUCUGCUUACUACCGUAUUUUUGUUGAUGCAAUUUCUAAUGAUAAAUAAGCUUUCGAGUCCCUUCCUUUAAUAGUUUGAAAGUAAUCUCAAAUUUUAGCUUCCAAAAAUUCUCUUUCCGAAUCAUUUUCACAGUUUUAUUAACCCGGGCUGUUCUUUGUUGUUGCACCAAAUUUGCAAGUCUAGUUUGAGGAAUUAUUAUUUUUAUAGGUAAAUUGGAACCAUGCCAUUAUAAUUUUGCAAAGUUUGAGAUAUGUCAUCAGUAUCUCAAUGACAUGGAGGACCCACGUGAGUCAAUGACAUGUAGGUCAGGAUGGCAUAUCUCAAAUUUUAUAAAAUUAUAAUGGCAUGUAGGUCAGGAUGGCAUAUCUCAAAUUUUACAAAAUUAUAAUGGCAUGGUUCCAAUUUUCCCUAUUUUGAUAUAAGGGCAAAUCUUUUCCUGCAACAUCAAAGCAAUCCACAUUCCACGCUGAAUACGUAUGGAACAAGUGACUGUCAUUGUAAAUAGGCGUGUGUCGAAUUGCCAGGUUGACAAGAAAAUUACUUGUAAAUCUUUGUACCUUUUUAUUUGACGAUAUUUAUUAUGAAUGAGGAAGAAUAUUAACGGUGAAUUUCAGGGAUGAUAUGCUUGUUCACAUUGCAUAUUUUUUCCACGCAAAGUAUGCAUUUUUUUUCCCUCACAAGUCAUAAUACUGAUGGAUCCUCUUGGCGUUAAAUGUUCCCUUUGUCUUGUUUAAGAUUAAAAUUGGAUGAAGAGGCGUAGACCUUGGAUUCAAGACUCAACGGCCUGUUUUGGUUAGAAGUUUUUAGGAGGGAUUGAGAGUUUAGAAGGAUGAGGCUAUUAAGUGUUUUAUUUGGUUGAGAGACAUGGGAGUUUUGGUAGGAUGGGAAUGGGGAAUUGUGGAAGGAACUCCCUCCUUUUCAAUACCUGGGUAGGGGCAGAUAAUUGGGAGGGAAUUUCUCCUUUACUUUGUCUAAGCAAAUCUCAUCCAUCCGUUUUUAUUAAUGAUCUAAUCUCCAACUAAACUCCGUAUCAAUUUUCAUCGCCUCUACCAAACAAGAUAUUGGGAUUAAAAAUCAAAUUCUCAUCUUAAUCUCAUCAUCAAUUCCCUCGUGUAAACUCUCAAUCCCCUUCUCUGAAGUGGAGUUCAGAAAGGACCAAGAAGCUAGAUCUAUGAAAGGACCACAACAAGUGGCGAAAAGAGUUCCUCUUUUGAACUCAAUAUCACUAAAAUCAACUCAUUCAACUACGUGAUAGCAGUAUGCAAUAUAGGAUGGCUUCCUGCCUCUACUGAUACCAGCGCUGUCGGAUCCCAAAACUAACGAUUCAGAAACCGACAUAUUUAACUGUAUCAAGCCCUGGAUCAGUAGGUUGAUACAGGUUCAAUAAUCUGGAUCUUCAUUGCAUACAUUUGGUCAAGGCUCCAAAGGAGAUAUCUUUAUAUAUAAAAUAAUAGGACAUUUACAAGUUUGUGGCUAACUAUUACAGCAGAAGCUAUACGAUGACCCAACUCUAUCGUUUUACUAUAGAACUAAACCGUCUAACUAUACUAGACUUGAAGACUAGGUUUAAAGGGAACUAACUUAUGUGAUUGAACUCCCAGCUUUGGCAAAAACUCCAAAUAGACUCUGAAAAAAGGGGUUGAAGCAAGGGUGAGUACAUGCCAAUCACCCCGGCCGCCUGCAGGCUCAGUUUGGGGAGAAUCGGUAAUCAACUUCAGAGAAUCUAGAGAAGCUACUAACCCAGCUUUUAGCUAUAGUUCAUUUUCUAGAUUCUACAACUACAAAAUCUCAUAAUCAACUACAAAAUCUCAUAAUAGAGUGACAAUCUUACAGUUUAAAUGGAUAGAAACUCCCUAAACAAGCCUUAGCUUGGUCCACAACAAGGUGAGAAUGAUGAGGCAUACCGACAUUUAGGCUAACCUCACCUUCCACGCACUAAAACGGAGUAAUGCUUCUUUUGCAAAAGACGCACCGUUUAUCAAUUUAAAAAACGUGCACAACACGAGCGAAGUGAGUUGAAAAAGGUAGGGGGAGAAACCCAUUAGAUUAAGGCCAUUGAACGGUCGGAUGCAAGGGAGUGAGUACCACCGCUGCCUUGCAACACGCAAGUUGGUUAUUUAGAUGAUUCGUCUUCAAGAAUCCUUGAGAUAGGAAGGAUACGCUCCGAAGUUUGGAGCUCAGAUGAACAAAGCGCAUUGCACAAAUGAUGUACGAAGGAUGCUUCACAGGGCUGGUGUCCAUCAUGCAAAGCAUUCAUCGAGCUGAUAGAGUGAUAGUUGAGAAUCGGCGUUCUGGGAAACAAUUCUAAAAGACAGCUCUACACAUACCGAAACACAACUAGUACAACACAAAGCAAAACAAAAUAACACAACAGCAUCAGGCAAUACAUAAACAGGAAAAGAAGGAUCGAAAUCCGGGCAAACAGUUACUCUCAUCUCAUCAAGAUAACAAUACCCUAUUGGCAUCAGUUCUAUCAGACCCCGAAGAUUUUAUGCGAUGCAAGAAAAGAAGAAACGCAAUACCACGACAUGACUGAGUGCCAAUAUCAUAGCGUGAUGUGGUACCGUGAGGAGAAGAAAUGAUCCCAUCAGAACUCAUGGAAUCAAUUAAAUUUUCUAGGUAUAUGACAUUCUGAACAAAUCGAGGCAUCUUUGUUCAAAAUAGAACAUUUUCAAAAAGGCAAGCUGAACGUUAGGUGAUAUAAAUAACUUUCCCAAAGCAUCUUCUCUAGCUUACACAACAGAAAGCAAUGAGCAUCUAUGUAAAAAUUAUAAUCACUCAUAACCGCAUACAAGCAAAAUACUGAAACUGUCCAUUGGAACAUCACCUAACAUUUACCAAUGUAUUGUCACCAAAAUCAAAAUAGAAUCAUCAACCAUGCCAUUAUCCCCAUGAUAUAACUCAAUCAGAUUGUACAAAUUUAGGCGCAGACUUGUCACAAAGCAUUGUUAGCCAGAACAACUGUAGUCUAAAAAAACAUAAACAGCCAAACCACAAUCCCACAAUACUUGAUGCAAAACAUCCAGACCUACCACUAAACUGUCUAAGCUCAACACUGAAGUAGGAUAGGACAAUUACACUUUUUUUAAUCUAUCUAAGAUUUCUACAAGGAUCAUAGUGCAGCCACUGAUUGCAACAACUAAAAGAAUGAAAUAAGUUACUUAUAGACGUCCUAUUUCAUUACUUUGCAUUCGGAUUCAAAUCCAACAAUGCAAACAAAUAAGCAGCUAGCCAAUUGAACCUUAAUACUUGAAGCAUAACAUAAACAGCUAACAUACAUAACAGUGCAUAGCCAACCAUGUAAUCCAUCCAACCAAAGAAACCAAGUGCUACCAAUCACCUUGCACACCAUGAAACAAACAAAUCGAUACCUAAACACUAAUCAGGCAACCUAUCGCAAGUUGCACUACCAUUACCAAAGAAUUGCCUAAGAUUACAGUUGCUAAAUUUUGAUAGCCAUGCGAGUUAGUAGACCUAAUUAAGUUGCAAAUCAUGUCCGCAAAACACUGUUGGGCACAUCGCAAUGAAUCACCGCUGGAAAUGGAGGAACAUGGAAAACAAAUCGCAUCUGAAGCAGUGUAAUUCCCAAACAAAACUUCAACCAGAUCUAUCCUUGGCAUGACUUCAUAACACAUGAGCAUCAUCAUGUCUUAAUUUUAAACUCAAUACUAACAACCAAGUCUUCAUGGACACAGAUACCAAAAAAAGCAGAUAUAGAUUAACGGAUGAUAGCAAGAACAAGAAGGCGCGCCUAGAAGCGGAGCUUGGUGAAGAACCACCUGUUCUUGCCGGUCUUGAACCUCUCCUCGAGGCGAGCCUUGGCGGCCUUGCAGGCGGCCACCUUCUUGUCGCGGGUGGCGAGGGCGUCGGGUCCCCCGGAGGCCACGUCCUUGAAGUCGACGUCGAGGGUGUAGCGGGUGGGCAUGAUGUGGGUGAAGUUGACGAGCUUGAGGAAGCACUUGACCCUCGACUUCUUCGCCGUCUUCUUCGCCGAGUCCUUGCGGAUCACCUUCUUCGGGUACUUGGCGAGGCCGGCGACGAGGCAGUGGCCGUAGGGGCGGUCACGGGUGCCCUCCUCGAACACGCGCACGAUCACCGCCUUCCGCCCCGCGUACCGCCCCUGCAGCAGGAUCACCGCCUUCCCCGGCUUCAGGAACUUCACCAUCGCGGCGGCUUGGUACGGAUCUCCUUCUCCUUCGCCGGUGUGGUUGGUCGCCGCCGCCGCCGCCGCCGCCGAGCUCACCUCUGCUGCUGCUGCGCCGCCGCCGGAUGGUGUUAGGGUUCGCGGAGAGGGGAGGGUUUUAUAGUCGGGAUGCGGCGAGGCUAGGGUUUGAGGUGGGGAACGAAUGGCGGAUUUGCCCCUGGGUUGCGGAUCGUUGGAUGUGAAUCGGACGGGUGUUUCCUGGGUAAGUUGGUGGUGGGGCCGAGGUGGCAGUGGGAGAUUGAAGGGCGAGUGGAGGGGGUAAAAUGGGGAAGGUUGAGCGGGUGCGCUGAGAUGGGCUUUGGGCGGAGAAAUAGGCCCAAUAAGACCCAUAUAGGCCGACCUAUCGGUCUGGCCCACUUGUCGGACGGACGGCCUUUCGGCGCCUGUUAGCAAAGCAGCAGUGGUUAUGUACAGAUUAUUUGAAAGAGUACUGCUAUAUAUACGACUCAGGUGGUGAUUGAAUCUUCUAAAGAUGAAGUUGAAGAUUAAGUGUUUUACGCAAAAUGAGGUGGUAAUAAUGUGUGUUUAAUUGAGUUUUAAUUACUACAAACUUGAAAAAUGGAUUAAUCUGAUAUUUUAUAACAACUUUCAUAUAGAAAGUUUUCGCACGAAACGCACCGUUUAGCAGUUUGAAAUGCGUACCGCGAAAAUCCAAAACUUCAUCUAGUCUUUGUAGAGGAAACGAAUGUGGCCUCAAUUGUACAACUCAUAUAUAUAACUAGAUAUAUGCAACGAUAGAUUAAUCGAAGGAGAGCAUGUUCAUAUGCACUGCAACCUUUUACAGCCGUCGAUCAAAUUCAGUCGGAUAGUUGGGUCAUAUGCAUAGCAAUUUCCUAUUUGAAAUUAGCAUGGCAUGUUUAGAUAAGUACUAGGAGUAUUUGUUUUCUGAAUGGCAGAUGAAUUUAAAUUGCUGGAGUCCCAAGAUGAUGAGAUUGCGAGAAGGGUAGGGGAUGAAGGCAUGAAGCUGCUCGAUGGUUUUUUUUUUCUUUGGGUGGUUGUGUGCUAAGCUGAAGUUCUGCUUUUCGAUCUGAUCUGGGUGGUGAUCUGCUUUGGAUCACUCUGGGAUUGAUGUCUAUGUUUGUUUUUCUCUUUGCAGUAGUUGAUUAGUUGGUUGUAAGAUAGUUUUCGUAUAUGCCUGAAGUCUCCCCCAACUAUGGUUGGAUGGCACCUGGUCAGGUCGUUUUCGAUGUUGUUUUAAAUCCUCUGAAUUUUUUGUAGCUUCCGUUUCUGGUAAUAGAAAUGGGGAGAGCUUGGCUCUCCUAGUUAAAAAAAAAAAAAAAAAAAACUUCUGAAUGAUGUCCAGUGGUGUUGGGUUGAACUAGUCAGUGCCACCGAUUUUUGGUUUGAAUUUUAGUUUGAUGUCAGAAUCAUGUUUAUGUACUAGUUCUCCAAAAAAUUUGGUAAGGUAAAAGUAUUUAUCGAGCGUUCAGUUUACUAUUAACAAACUACGCGAAGCAAACUAGGCUGUUAUUUUGCUUGCCUGUCCCUUUGGAUGUGCUCAAAUUUGUGCCUAUAUUUGCAGUGUUUCUGAUAGGACUUCCCUUCUUUUGUUGAAAUAAAACACAAGUUCACAGGAGCUGGAAAAGAUCACAAGUUUGUUAUGUACUCACAUACAUGUAAAUACCACUGUAAAAGGAGUGACACUGUAAAAAAAAUAUUCGUUUCAGUACACAUGCACAAACAUAUGGUUGGUUCGUCAGCUAAUUCAGUGCCAGCUCCAAGCUUUGGAAUCUCUGAACUGUUGGUAGCAUUUUGAGUUCUUGUUCUUCCACCUCCUUGACUUUGUUGCUCCACUUCGCUUUGCUGUUUUCAACUUGUUGGGUUGUCAAACAUCCGUUCUACCGGUUUUCCUCUGCUUUGGCACUUCCUUGAUGUUUUCGCUUGUUGGAGAAGAGGCGACUCAUCUUCUCUUGUUUUUUUUUUUUUUUUUUUUUUUGCUGUCUAUACAUCUUGUGACAGAAAAUCCCACCUCAUAUCAUUCGAAUUUUAAACCAUUGGAUAUGCUUCAAGAUUUAUGCAGAUCCUUUUAACCCUAGCUCCUCUCCUCCUCCUCCCGAUUCAGAUCGCACACCACCACCACUCCUCCGUCCUCGCGCGAUCCUCCGCCGCCACCGCCCCACCGCGCCGCCGCCCGCCUCGCCGGAAGGGGUCAACGGCGCCGGCGAGCCCCCUCCCCCUUCCCCCCUCUCCCCGUUCCCUCCUCUCCUCGAGGUGCCCCCGUCCCACCGUCUUCCCUGUCUCCGGCGGCUCCCCGCCACCGGAUCCACCACCUCCUAAUCUCAUGCUUUGUUUGCCCCUGCCGCCGACGCCGGCCCACUGCCUUCCUCCAUCCCCGCGGCUUCGGCGGCGCCGCCGCCGCCUCGCCGCCUGCCGGAGUCCACCACCCACCGCCAGUCCUCCGCCCACGGCCAUCCCUCUAAGCCCCAAGGAAACCCCCCGCUUCCCCCUCCCUCAACCCCCCUCCUACCCUCACCCCAACCCCAAACCCUAACCCGCCGGAGUUGGGGUGUCGCCAGCGCCGGAGAAGAAGGGAGCCCACCGGAGUUGGAGGAGAGAAGCCGAUGCAUGAAUCUUGGCAUGAAUCCAAUGGUCCAAGAUCUGUAAGAUUUCUUCCCCAAAUUUCAUUCGAAUGCCAUAUAGCAAUCCCUUUUUUUUUCAUCUGCCUUAGUGGCACAAACAAGAACAUGGAGGAUCUUUAAUGGCAUGAGACUAUGAGAGUGAACUGUGAAUUUUACAGAAGUUUUGAUUUGUUACUCGCCUUUCAAGUUUGGCAGAGUAGAUCACACAGGUUUAAAAAACCAAGGCUAAUAAACCACGACACAUUCAAGCAAAAUCUCUGUCAGAAACCGUGCAAAACUGAACCUUUUAUGUAUUACGAAGUUGACAUGCUCGGAUAGCUUCGGUCUCCUUCAGACAAAGGAACAAAAAAAAAUUACAGCAAUUCUCUGCUUCAAAACAUGAUAAACCCAAUCACCUCCCAUGUUAUUACUACUAAUUAUUGUUUAAUUUUCCUUUCGCUCUAUCUCGAAUUCAUUCUUCGAUUCUAAAGAAAGAAAUCGGUGAGAAACCAAACAAACAAUACAUGAGCCGAGCCGAGGUGAGCGAUUCAGUGCCUCCCACGCUUCUUCGCGGGCUUGCAGUCGUCGUCGUCAUCUUCGAAGCCGGACACCUCGUCGUCGUCGUCGGAGUCUUCGUCGAGGUCGUCGUCGAACUCCCCGUCGCUUCCCAUGGCCUCAAACUCAUCGUCCUCGUCCUCGUCCUCGCUCUCGCUCACCGCCUUCGCCUUCCGCCCCGCGGCGGCGUACCCUCUCCGCGCGUGCAGCGCCGCGGGGGUCGCGCCCGCGGGGUGGAGCAGGAAGCGCGCCACGGCGGCGGAUGGCGGCGCCGCCGCUGCCAGGCGGGGAGCGGCGGGCCCAACGGCGAGAUGCGCCGGUGGUGGGCGUGGGGCGGCCGCGGCGAGGCGGCGGAGGGCGAGGGAGGCGGCGCGCUGCAUGGUUGGGGGUUGGCGGCGGCGGUGGCGGCGGUGGGGGUGAGUGGGAGGGUGGCGGCUAGGGUUUUGGAGCGGGAUUUGCGCGAGGGCUGGGGAUUUUUAAUGGCGGGGAAGUGGGAGGGAGCGCGGGCGUGGCUGGAAGAUUCCAGAGACCGCAAGCGGCUCCCGCGCUCUACUCUGAUGAUCUGAUCUGGUCGCCGCCGCCACCGGCGUGCGUGUGCCUGCUUUUUCAUUUUUCUUUUCCUAUUCGGGCUUUGUUGGGCCGGUGAAUGCUUGUUGGGCCAUUGAAGAUCAGGAACAGGUUAGAUUGGGGGAAUAAGUCCACAUUGACUCCCUUCAAAGUGACCCGAAUCUAAUCCAUGACCCUAAACGGCAAAACCGAAUAUCUCGACCCCCGAACUAUUGGAACUGGUGCAAUUUGACUCCCUUGGCGGUUUUGGAGGGCUGUUUCGCUGACGCGGUGCUGGCGUGGCGGUGUUGACCUAGUCUGUGAGGUUGACGUGGCGCUUAGAUGGCACGGAAGUUGACAGCCACGCAGCGAGCUCGAGCGAUGACUCGAUGACGUCGUCGUUGCAAUGCUGAAUGGCGUAGCUUGAUGGCGGCCCUCGCCCCUAACCAUCUUGACAGGCUCGACAUCAGCCAUGUCAUGAGCCUGCCGCAUAUGUCGAAUCUUGUUGUUGCGAUCGGCGAAAAGGCCAGAGUGCCGGAUCUUAUUGUCGCGGACAGCGGGAGGCAGCGGAGGGAGCAGGGAGCUCGUUCCCCCGGUGAGGACGUUGUGUCGGUGGAGGUGAGGACUAGGGGUGGAGGAGGUCGCCGGCGUGGAUCCAUAAAGGAGAUCGGCUCCGGUCUCCCCCCAGCACCCUUAGGCCACGCCGGCUCCCAGAUCUUGGCCCGCUGAAGCCGUCUACCGCCGUCCCCCCGCUCGAUCUCGUCGGCGCUGUCGUCCUCUCCCGCCUCCUUGCCGGCCAUCGAGCUGCCCGCUGCCGCUCCAGAACCCGCCGUUAGCUCCAACCCACCGGCGCUGCCGCUUCAACUCCCGGCGGCCGCCACCGCUCUAGCCCCCGCCCGCCGCCGCUCUAGCCCGUGCUCCCCGCGACCGGCCGAAGGGGAGAGAGAGACAAAGAAAGAGAGAAGGGAGGAAGAGGGGAGGAAGAAGAAAGAGAUAGGAUGACAUGUGGGGCCCACAUGUCAUUGGGCCCCAUAAUUUUUUGUGUGUGAAUGACAAACGGGUCCCACAUAUAUGUUUUUAAUUCAAAUGCCACCUAAGCACCACGUCAACCCCACAGACUAGGUCAACACCGCCACGUCAGCGAAAUCGCCCUCCAAAACCACCAAGGGAGUCAAAUUGCAGCGGUUUCUAUAUUUCGGGGGUCGAGAUAUCCGGUUUUACGGUUUAGGGUCAUCGAUCAGAUUCGGGUCACUUUUAAGGGAGUCAAAGUGGACUUAUUCCUAGAUUGGAUCGUGAGGCAGCACGACAACAAACGGGUGAUUUUAGCAUGGAAAAAGUACACCAAAGGUCCCUCAACUUUUUAUCGAGUUACAAAAUCGUCCCCCAACCGCAAAACCAGAUUUAGGACAUCCCUCAACUUACAAAUCCGUUAACUUUAGGUCCUCCGGUGGUUUUGACCAUAAUUUUGUCUGACGUGGCAGCUGAGUCAGCGUGAGACCAACGUGAUCCCCACAUGUCAGGGUGUCCACAUCGUCACCCUAUUUCUUUCCCCUCUUCUCUCUUACUCUUCUCGUCUAGGACUCUGGGUAGGGCGACUGACGGAUGGGGAGGAGACCGGCGGGGUGGGGCGGGGCGAGGCGGGAGAGGUGGUCCGGCCACAAUUGCUAUCUCGCGCCAGUUGCUUAUGUCGCGCGCACGUGGCAAGCCAACUGCACAUGCAUGCAUGCACCACGGUCUCCAGUCGUGCAGAUGCAUUACACACAUGCAUGCAUGCAUCUAUACGAUCUUUCUUUUUUUUUAUGCUUUCAUCUUAAUUAAUUUAGGAUGUAGUGAAAGUUAUCAAAAUUUCUAUUAUAAGAUAAUUUUAAUAAAAAUAUUUUUUAUAAUGCAAAUUUAAAAACUCGACAUGAAAGUUUUUAAAUCGGAGUUGAAAGUUUUCAAAUCUCGAGUUGAAAGUUUUCAAAUCCAACUUGAAAGUUUUCAAAUCUCGAGUUGAAAGUUUUCAAAUCUGAGUCGAAAGUUGUCAAAUCUCGAGUUGAAAGUUUUUAAAUCUGAAUUGAAAGUUUUCAAAAUUUAUCUUGCAAAUUUAAAUUUCGACUUGAAAUUUUUCAAAGUUUAAGUUGAAAGAUUUCAAAAUUUGACUUUAAAGUUUAAAUCUUAAGUUGAAAUUUUCAAAUCUAACCUGAAAGUUCUCAAUCUAUUAGAAAAAAGAAAAAGUUUUUAGGUACUAAUUAUGAUUAGCACUAAUCACUAAUCACGUCAUCAUUAGUGCUAAUCACAUCUUUGUGACGGGGGCAGCGUACGCACGAGUUCCGUUCGCGGCGCGUAUGCGCGCGUUAGGACUCCCUUGGUCCGGCAGCCGGCGACGACGGUGCUUGUGUUGGCAACUUUUUUUGACAAGCGGUGAUCCUAGAGUCGCCAACCACCUCGAUCUAGCAAAGAGCUAAACCUAGAUGGGUUUUGAUAACUAAACUAGCUAGCGGAGCCGAUUUCUAGAUAACUACCCGUCUCGUGGGCAAAACGGAAGGUUUUCAGGACAAACCUACAAAGAGAUGUCGCACUCUCGCAGCGGCGGCGGACGGUUUACGGCGCAAACCGACAAAGAUGGAAAAACUAAGAGAAAACUAAAAGCAAUAUGAAAAACGAUUCGAUUGAUUGAUUGUAGAUUGGUUUUUUACAAUGAACCGGCCAUGUCCCUUAUAUAGGGGUUGGUCUUGCCCUCUACAGGCCCUCCUCCACGUCCAACUCGGAGUAGAAACCAAAGGAAACCCGAAACAUGCUUUCCCGAGCAAGAAAACCUCGAGACCCGAUGAAACACAGUUAGACUCGGACCUGCCGGUCAGACCGGCCACACACCGCCGGUCUGACUGGCCCUCAACCGGUGGUCUGACCGCCCAACACACGGCGGUCAGACCGGCCCACUCGAAGGAAACCGGUAGACUUCCAAAUUUUGGCAAUCUUUCCUAUUUUAAUCCUAGGUGCCAAAUUUGGGUGUAAACAUCUUGGUCCCAGCAAGACGCCGUCGUCGUGCCUAUCCAUGCGUCCUGCCGCUCCAGCUCCCGGCGGCGGCGGCGCUUGCACGGCUCCGGCAGCGGCUACUCUGACAAUGCGUAGUCUUCGGCCGGCCAUGCCGCCGCCACGUUCGAGCCCGUCCCCACUGCAGCUUGGUGUGUUGGUGGUGGUUUGCCACCGGCGGGGACACCAGAAGCGCACGGUGGUGAAGAGGGCUGAGGCCAGGGGAGACUGGAGGCCACCGCUACUGCCGUGGCCCGUGCUGUCGCCGCCGCCGCCGUUGUCCUUCCUCCCGUGCCCUGCCUCCCGCAACUCCAGCUCCAGCUCCCGACGACGACGGCGCUUGGUCCUGGCGAGCCGCCGCCGUCGCGCUGUCCCUGCGUCUUGUCGCUCCAGCUCCCAGCGGUGGCGGCGCUUGCAAGUCUCCGGCAGCAGCUGCUCCGACCACGCCCGGUCCUCGGCCAGCCACGCAACCGCCACAUUCGAGCCCGCCCUCACUGCAGCUUGAUGUGCUGGUGGUAGUUUGCCACCGGUGGGGAGACCGGAGGCACACGGUGGCGAAGACGGGCUGAGGCUGGGGGAGACUGGAGGCCGCCAUCACCGUCGUGUCCCGUUGUCACGCCCUGAAGUUUCCCCCUUUUUUCUUGCUUUAAAAAUUGGUUAAAUAAAUCGUCCGAAAAAAUUGUUUUAAUUAACCUAGAGCUAAAUCCCUAAUUAAUAAAUGCAUUCAAUAAUUGGAAAGGGCAUUAUGGGAUUUUUUUUUCUUGGGUUCCACAUGUCACAAUUGAUUAACAGGAUUUUUAGUGGAAUUUUCAUAGCCCUAUAAAUAAUUUUAACCAAUUAAAAUUCAUUAACCGCGAUAUUUUAAAUCCCAGGAAUUCAUUUCCCUUUUUCCUCUUUCUCCUUUUCCUUCUUUUUCUUUCUUGGGCCGUCGGCCCGGUCCAUCUUGCCCGGCCACGCUCACCCUCCUUCUUUUUGGGCCGGCCCGUGCCCCUCCCUUCCUCCCUAGGGUUGCCGACAGGUGGGGCCCACCUGUCGGUCGUCCUAACCUCCAGCCGCCCGCGCCUAGGCCAGCAACCGCCGCCGCCUGCUCCAGCCGCCCACGUCGCCCGCUUCCUCCACCCCACUCCGCGCCUCCCCACGUCGCCGCCCACCUCCUACACCUCUCCCGUACGCGUGCAAGCUCGCAUAGAGGCGCGAUUCAUUUUUGAAUCCCCUCUCUCUCUCUUCCUCCCCACUCCCCCACAUCGCCGGCGAAAUAGGGAGGUUUCCCGGCCACGUCCGCCCCCUCCCGCACCUAUAAAUCGCUCCCCCGAGCCCCCUCAACCUUUUUCCGCUCUCGCCACGCUCGCCCGUGCACUCCGCCGCUCUCCCCACGCCACACCCGAGCUUCGCCGCCACCGCCCAUCUCCGGCCGCGCGCCACCGCCGCUAGAGCCGCCGUCGCGCUCACCGAGUCCGCCCGCACCUUGGCCACCACUUGCUUGCCGCCGAACGACGCCGGAGCUCUGAUUCCCUCGCCUCGCCGGUGAGCCCACCAUUUUUGCCCCUUUUCGGCCGGCGAUGUAAGCUACCGUGGUUGUCCUCUCUGCCCUAACUUCUCUCCUCCCCUCCUCUAGGUGUCGUCGCCGCCUGUCCGCCCCCUCUGCUCGUCGGGUCGUCGUCACCGCCUUCGCCUCCCGCUCCGGCCGCUGUGUCGCCGGUGAGGACUCCCCCCUCCUUUUCUUCCCCUUCCCGCGUGCACCGCCGCCUUUGGCUGCGCCGCCGCAUCGGCCGUGCGCCGCCGCUCCCCAUGGCCGGCCGGCCGGCUUUGUGCCGAGCCGAGCCGUGCCUAGCCGCCACCCACGCUUGUGUGCUUUGUUUGUCGCGUAGAUUUCGGCCGUUUUGUCAAUCCGCGGUUCCUCAAAGACGUUGUUGUGGUCUCAUCAGUGCGAGAGCAAGGCAAGUCAUGCAUUACAAUUGAUCAUAUUGUACUCAAUUUACAAAUAUCCCGCAUUUCUAUUAAAUGUUGCAUUCUUUUACAAUGUCAUGUGGAAUGAGUCCUAUUACUCAGCCAUAUAUUGUUUACCUUAUGCCAUUGAUAAUUUGGGUGUCAAAAUGACUAGAUGUUGGUUUAGGAAAUGCUUAGUCAUGCUUAGCUCAAGUAGUACACAAAUGGGAAUCACAUUAUUACAUAGACUUUGACUAUUAGCAUAGCUUUGUAUUGGUGCCACCGCAAUGGUGUUAGUUAAUUAAAAUACACUGAAUGGUGGGCUGUGGGUGCAUGGUUUUGCUAGUCGCACCCAUGGCAAUUAAGGACCGGUUUGCUGGAAACCCUGGGAGACUUACCGUGCUUACCACAAGCGGGAGUGGGUAACUGCUUGAUCUGAAGUAUAGCUCGACCCUUUCCUAGGCACCGGUGGUGAGGGUGGGCGUGAUGGAGUUGGGUUGGACGGGGUAUCCGGUUGUCCAGCUGCCGGAUUCACCGCGGCGCACGAGGGGACUGCCCAACUCCGGAUUCACCACUGCCUUUUGAGGGGUGGGGGUGAAACCUUAGCGUAGUGUGGAUGGUUAGGGAGGGUUAUGCGAAGGGUCUUUUCACGAUUUCCCCCUUUGUAGUAUCAUGGUGAUACUUCGGGGCAUGGCGACGUGUCUUGUGGGUACAGUUGUACACCUCUGGCCAGAGUAAAACUAUUCGAAUAGCCGUGCCCGCGGUUAUGGGCGAUCAAUCAGAUUCACCGUGAUUAGUCUCACCCCUAGUUUAGCUUAAUGAACUGGUGUAGUUCAGAUUGUUGGUUGGGCCUGUUGCAACGUGGUAUAGUGUUGGACAGUGAUUGGUUAAUACUGAUUAAUUACUACAAUUGUUUUUACUGCUUUCAACUACUGAUUUUAAAUGCCUGCUUUAUGCAAAUGAACCCUUAGCCUCCUUUGGUUAUAUCCUGCAUCAUACCUCCUCUUCCGGUAUGACUUGCUGAGUACAGUGGGUAGUACUCAGUCUUGCUCUCUUUUCUCCCACACCAGAGCUGAAGAUCUUCCUAGUUGGAGCUGUCUUGUUAGGGUUGGUUUCGUCGCUGCCGUCAAGGGUUGCCUGUGGAGUGGAGUCGCCCGUUGCAGAAGUCAAGCUUCCAAGUUUAGCUCGUUUUAUCUUUUCCGCUGCAUUUGUAAUCUUUUAUAUUUUUGUAAGACGUGGAUCUGUAUGUCAACAAUUAUCGUUUGUAUACCCUGGCUGGUCCUGGACAGGGAUUUAAUGCACAUUCAGCUUAGAAAUUCUUGUUUGUGAAUUUCUGGGCAUGACACCUGUGCUCCCCCCUUCUCCCACGUAGCCGGCGCCCUCCCCUUCUCCCGCCUCGCCCCGGCGACCUCCUCCCCGCCCGCCGGCCGGCUGCCAAGAGAGGAGAAAAGUGAAAAGUGAGAGAGGGAGAGAGAAAGAAAGAGGGGAAAGAGAGGGGCGCUGAUGUGGACACCCUAACAUGUGGGGCCCUUGUGGGUCCCACGCUGACUCAGCUGCCACGUCAGACAAAACCGGGGUCAAAACCACCGAAGGACCUAAAGUGAAUGGUUUUGUAAGUUGAGGGAUGUUCUAUAUCUGGUUUUGCGGUUGGGGGACGAUUUUGUAACUCGAUGACAAGUUGAGGUACCUUCGAUGUACCUUUUCCUUUUAGCAUGGAGAGGCACUUUUGUCCUGCCCAAUUGUAUUAGGAGGGAAUAAGUCCACUUUGACUACCUCAAAAUAUAGGUCUAAUUUGGUUCGUACCCCUGAUCUGCAAUGCUGGAUAUUUUGACCUCCCAAUUAUUAAAACAGGUGUAGUUUGACUCCCUUAAUGGUUUUGAGAGUGGGUUUUCGCUGAUGUGGCACGUUCAUCAGGAAGGAGGAGGUGUGAACGAGGAUGAUAGUGGCAAUGAGAUGGGAGGCUGACGAAACCGUCGAUGCACCAUUGCCGACUGCUGUCACACUCCUCGUCACCAUCGUGCCGCCGACGACUGCCAUCACUGGCUCUCCCUGAUAGCUCAGCGGUGUGGGGAAAGUGGAGGAGAGGAGAAAGAAAGGAGGCAUGUGGGCCCCAUUGAUAACUUAGUAGGUUGGACCAAGUCAACGUGCUACAUGAGCGAAACCGCCCUCAAGAGCAGCCGAGAGAAGCAAAUUACACCAAUUUUAAUAGUUUGGUGGUAAAGAUAACCGAUAUAUGAAUUAGAAUGUUGGACCUCUAUUCAAGGGAGUCAAAGUGGACUUAUUCCUAUUGGGAGUUAAUGAAAUAUAAAAGUUACUAGGGCUGGUUUACCCCUAAAAAGGGUAGAGGUAUUCUUUAGACAGGGUUGACCAAAUAUUUAUGUAGUGAACGUCCAUUGAUAUUUAUCAAAAUAGUAAAUGCCUCAAUGGAAGGUUUUGGUUUAGGGCAUGCUUAGUAGGGCUCCAACUCCUAAAUUUAACUCUAAGAGUCGGAUCUGAAGUGAAGCUGUGGAGCAGCCUAAAACAAAUUCCACCUAUUUAGUUUAUUUUGUGAGAGCACUUUAACCCGCUCCGCUCCCUUUUUUGGUGGAACUGAAACCGUUUGAUUGGGCUCCAGAACUGGAGUUGGAACUCUGCCAAACAAGCCCUUAACAAGUAGCAUGUACCAGAAAUGCCAACGGAUUGUUAUUGACGGUCGUUAUAGACCAAUUCCAACCGUCAAUAUAUCCAAAAAUAAAGGAGAACUAGCAAUGCUUCAUGCAUAUUUGUUUAAGAAUAAUCUAUUUCCAUUUAUACUUGGCAAAAUAUUGUUUGCAGGAGAACUUCACAUAAUCGGAGGAAGAAUAAAAGAAAAUAACAUCAAAGACACACCUCCGACCAAUCAGUCGCAAGUACAAGUAUUGAAGGGCCCAUAGGUCAGGUGAAACCGCCAUAAAAUGGGUCAUAACCGCCAUAAGGACCCACCAGUCAGCCUCCUGGACAAAGGAUAGGCCAGGAGGUGGGGCCCAGGGUUCGGUUGAACCAAGCCGAACCGCCAUCAGGCCCUUUCUGACAAUUCCAUGAUAGCUUCUCAAAGACGGUUGCGGGGCAUUUCUGACAAUUCCACAACUGUCAUAUGAACCCUAUAAAAGGAGCUCACCUUCUCCACUCCAACACACACCAAGAAGAAGCAAUCAAGAGCUCUCUCUAGUUUAUUUACUUUGUUCUAGUGCUAGUGGAGUAGAAUUAGAACAGUCUCUUAGUUUUUGAAGUCUUCCGGAGAUUUCGGAUAAGGCUUUAGUAGCUCUUCUCUCUCUUGUAAGACUUAAUUCAUUAAUAAAUUAUUCUUCUUGUCAUAGUUUCGGUCCUUUACUUCAUUUAUAUAAUUAUUCGAGUACCGGCUUUAGCUUAUACUUGUCUCGUAAUAAUUAUGUAGCUAGCUUACUGGAGAUAUGCAAUGGUAUUGGUUUAAUGUUCAUUUAUAUAUUGCUCUAUGUGAUCUGCAAAGAUGUAGAGUAGUAUUUAAUAAUGUAAGCGCAAUGCUUAGAUUAUCAGAUAUCAUUAAAUAGGGUUAUAUGCCACGGGUCUAUAUACAGGUAGGCCGCUGAUGGUGACAGCUCAGUACGAGUAUUCCUCCACAUGCGUAUAUAAUAUAAGAGAAUUUCCUGGUGUGGGUACUCCUCCGUAUUCAUUACCGGUUGGAUGGCCACGACGGGUUAUCGUAAGGAACUCGACAAUUAGGGGUGGUUUCUCGAUAUACCAGGAGGGCAUAGUUAGGGAUAUUGGCUGCAUAAUUGUAAAAUAGCAAGUGUAGACUAAAAUGACUAUACUAGAGUUCAGAAAUUAUUUUUUUCUUAUUUUUUCUCCACUUAGUUUAGAUUAUUAUUUUAAUAAAAGUAUUCUGGUUAGUUUCUUUUGUGUGUCAACCUACCAUAUUCUUGAAUCAAUUAACCCAUGAAUUAGACUUUGAUCUAUAUAAGUGAUAUAAAUUAUCAGCAUAGUACUCUCUUAUCAUAUCAUCCCUUGUGAUUAAAUAAAUACGAUAUAUACCUUGGAAUAUUUCCGGUGAAAUGUUACAGCGGUAUAUCCGUAUGCCUGCAGAUUAUAUCUGUAACCGUAAAGAAUACCGAGUAAUGUUUCAAGAGUCAUUGCUGGGAAUUACUAUAUUCCUAGUAAUGACUUUAAGAAAUAUCAACACACGCCGGAGUGCUGCCAUCGCCGCCACCGCCGCCGCCGCUGCUACUUCUCCACGGCGAUGUGCGUCAUCUACUGGUGACGGUGAGGAUGACGACAUGAGAGAGGAGGACAAAAAUAGUGAUGGGAGUGACAUAGUUUCAAUUUUAAAAUUUUUCAGUGACAUCCAACCAAUAACGCGAACUAUAAUGAUAUUUUUUUCAUAUACCAUAUACCAUAUUCAGAGUACCGUGGAUCAAAUUAGAGUACUGUAUACGAUUGUAGCUGUCUGAACGGCUAUGCAUGCACUGAAGUGUGGCUUUCCAACGGUUGAAUAUCCCACCUGUCAUCCCCCCCAACUUAUACAUAUUCUUACACUGAAAAUAGGCCAUUUCCAAAGUUUGGUCGAGUCAGCAAGAUCCAUGGCAUAGCUGGAGUAGGUAUCCAAGGCUGCACGGUGGCACAUGCACCAUGCCCCGACAAAGUGGGCCCUCACUAAACUGGCACGCAUACAUGGCCCAGUCCAGCAGUAGACCACAGAAGAUCCAACACGAAGCAGUCAGGCCCGGAAAACAACAACUCACGGAGCACAUGACCACUGGGCCCCAUCCAUCCCCUUACAUUGUUGCAUGCCCAACGCUAAAGAAACAGAUCAACACAGCACCGAUUCAUUGUGUCAAUGCCUCAAUGGUACAUGUUAACAACUGCACACAUACAUGGACAUAUGUGCAAGAAAAGAUUGUGCAAACCUUUUGAAAUUUUCAGAAUAUUUAUAGAGAUAUAUCAUGAAAGAAAGAACAAUAACCAAUCAAUGAAUUAAUAAUGCAUAUGCUUCCAAGAUGAACAAAACUGGCGAUAAUAUACAGAUGCCAUACAUACAUGUCCUCACACUGCAUAUAAUUAAUUUAAGUACAGACAAAAAUUAUAGGCUUACACGUCUAACCAUAAAGAGGGGAAGAAAUGGUAGAGAAAAAUAAUGAACAACAAUAAUGGAAUAUCUGCAUCAUCAUGCAUAUGUGUAAGAGCAAAGAAUGGUGGUGGUGACUGGUGACAUGGCACAACGACGACAUCGAUCAUCCCUCUCUAGCUAGGGCUUGAGGCGUCCAUCAAUAAUGGCGGCGAUGAACCCUAGCUAGCUAUAGCUAGUUAGGCCUUUGGUGCCUCCUCCUCCUCGGCCUUCGCCGGCGCCGCCUCAGCGGCCGCCGGCGUCGCUGCGGCCUCGACUGGGGGCUCGGCCUCGGCGGCGGCAGGUGCGCUCUCACCGGCGGCUGCAGCUGGCUCGUCGGCGGGGGCGGCGGCCUCUUCUUCUUUCUUCUCCUCGGCUUCUUCCUUCUUCUCCUCGCCGGCGGCGUCGGUGGCGGCGGCGGCGGCGGCGGCUUCCUCCUUCUUCUCCUCUUCGGCGGCGGCGGCCGUAGCCUCCUUGGGCUUGAUCUCCUCCUCGUCGGCGGGGAGCAACGUGGAGACCUUCUCGAAGGUGGCGAACACCGGGCCGGAGAGCAGCGCCGGGCCGACCUUGGCGAUCCCCUCGCUCAGUUGCUUCGCUCCGGGGAACUCUGAUCAAUC
rnacentral:lncRNA from 1 species